rnacentral:rRNA from 1 species
AGUGAACGCUGGCGGUAUGCCUAACACAUGCAAGUCGAGCGGAAGGACGGUAAGAUCUUUCCCUUGCUGUUGGCGGCUGACGGACGGGUGAGGAGUACAUCGGCAUCUACUUUGUCGGGGAUGACAACGGGGGGAAACAUACGCUAAUACCUGAUACUACCUACGGCUUGAAGCAAAAGAGCUUGAGACUUUGCCCGUUUCAAUGAGCCGCUGUCGCAUUAGCUAGUUGGCAUGGUAAGGGCACACCAAGGCAACGAUCCGUAGCUGGUCCGAGAGGAUGAUCAGCCACACUGGAACUGAGACACGGUCCAGACUCCUACGGGAGGCAGCAGUAGGGAAUCUUCCGCAAUGGGCGAAAGCCUGACGCAGCAACGCCGCGUGAGUGAUGAAGGUCUUCGGAUCGUAAAACUCUGUUGUUAGGGAAGAACAUAAGUGUAAUUAACUGUGCACAUCUUGACGGUACCUAAUCAGAAAGCCACGGCUAACUACGUG